rnacentral:lncRNA from 1 species
UAGGGUCUUCAGCCAGAACUGGUAGAGUGUUUCACAGGGAGAAGUGGAAGGCGCCUUCAGGUGAUACUUUAAAGCUUAAUGUGGAUGCAUCAAUAACUCCCGGCACAUCAUCAUUCUCAAUCGGCUGGGUCCUGCGAGAUCGAGGUGGUGCUUUUCAAGGUGGCCGAGUAAUGCGUAUUAACAGAGAAGUGUCGGUUCUGGAGGCUGAGACAAUAGGCAUUCUUGAGGCUUUAUCUUGGGUGGUGAAUACAACAGACAAGCAGGUGUGUAUUGAGUCUGAUUCACUCACAGCCGUGAACGCAAUUGUCAAAGGCAUUACUUAUCAGUCAGAGUUAGGCCAUGUUUUUGAUGAAUGUCGCCUG